AACGAACGCUGGCGGCACGCCUAACACAUGCAAGUCGAGCGCUACCUUCGGGUGGAGCGGCGGACGGGUUAGUAACGCGUGGGAACAUGCCCUUCACUAAGGAAUAGCCACUGGAAACGGUGAGUAAUACCUUAUACGCCCUUCGGGGGAAAGAUUUAUCGGUGAAGGAUUGGCCCGCGUUAGAUUAGAUAGUUGGUGGGGUAACGGCCUACCAAGUCGACGAUCUAUAGCUGGUUUGAGAGGAUGAUCAGCAACACUGGGACUGAGACACGGCCCAGACUCCUACGGGAGGCAGCAGUGGGGAAUCUUAGACAAUGGGCGCAAGCCUGAUCUAGCGAUGCCGCGUGAGCGAUGAAGGCCUUAGGGUCGUAAAACUCUUUCACCAGGGAUGAUAAUGACAGUACCUGGAAAAGAAACCCCGGCUAACUCCGUGCCAGCAGCCGCGGUAAUACGGAGGGGGUUAGCGUUGUUCGGAAUUACUGGGCGUAAAGCGUACGUAGGCGGAUUAGUAAGUUAGGGGUGAAAUCCCGGGGCUCAACCCCGGAACUGCCUUUAAUACUGCUAGUCUUGAGUUCGAGAGAGGUGAGUGGAAUUCCGAGUGUAGAGGUGAAAUUCGUAGAUAUUCGGAGGAACACCAGUGGCGAAGGCGGCUCACUGGCUCGAUACUGACGCUGAGGUACGAAAGUGUGGGGAGCAAACAGGAUUAGAUACCCUGGUAGUCCACACCGUAAACGAUGAAUGCCAGUCGUCGGGCAGUAUACUGUUCGGUGACACACCUAACGGAUUAAGCAUUCCGCCUG
rnacentral:rRNA from 1 species